GGGGCUAUAGCUCAGCUGGCAGAGCGCUUGCAUGGCAUGCAAGAGGUCCCCGGUUCGAUCCCGGGUAGCUCCA
rnacentral:tRNA from 2 species